GUAUCACAAAUAGAAAAGUUGCAAGGUGUUAUCAUAUAAGUACCUUGCUUCUUCUUUGGCCUGUUCGGGUCCAAUGAGGCAAUGUAUAGAGGACAGUUCCUCUUCCAGUGCCCCUGCUUCUUGCAAAAGAAGCACUCCAUCUGACUUUGGUUGGGCUUGUGCUUCUUGGUCUGACCCUGUGCAGACGUCCCAGCAUGCAGCUGCACCUUCUUAUUCUUCUUCUUCUUGUUCUUCUUUCCUUUCUUAAAGG
rnacentral:lncRNA from 1 species